AGCAGAACGCAGGCUGUAGAAAACCAAUAACUGAAAGAUAUUUAUUAAGGGCUUUGGAUAUGUUUUGGCACGAAGAUUGUCUGAAGUGCGGCUGUUGUGAUUGCAGACUCGGUGAAGUCGGAUCAACCUGCUACACAAAAGCCAAUCUUAUACUCUGCAAACGCGAUUAUUUGCGAUUAUUCGGAAAUACGGGCCAUUGCGCCGCAUGCAGCAAGAUCAUUCCGGCAUUCGAAAUGGUCAUGCGUGCAAGAGCGAACGUUUAUCAUUUGGAAUGUUUUGCGUGUCAGCAGUGCAA